rnacentral:rRNA from 1 species
CAGCAGCCGCGGUAAUCCGUAGGUGGCAAGCGUUGUCCGGAAUUAUUGGGCGUAAAGGGCUCGCAGGCGGUUUCUUAAGUCUGAUGUGAAAGCCCCCGGCUCAACCGGGGAGGGUCAUUGGAAACUGGGAAACUUGAGUGCAGAAGAGGAGAGUGGAAUUCCACGUGUAGCGGUGAAAUGCGUAGAGAUGUGGAGGAACACCAGUGGCGAAGGCGACUCUCUGGUCUGUAACUGACGCUGAGGAGCGAAAGCGUGGGGAGCGAACAGGAUUAGAGACCCCUGUAGUCCCUGUCUCUUAUAC